UGUGUGGUGUGUGUGUGUGUAUGUGUAUGUGUGUGUGUCUGUCUGUGUGUGAUUGUGUGUCUGUCUGGUUGUGUGUGUGUCUCUGUGUGUAUGUGUGUGUGUCUGUUUGUAUGUGUGUGUGUCUGUUUGUGUGUCUGUGUGUUCGUGUGUAUCUCUAUGUGUCCGUGUGUGUGGGACCGCGACUAGUCACGGACAAUGGAUUCUCGCUGAAGUUUCCUCCAGCGACCAUGACCACCGCCACCCCGACACGAGGUCUGGAUCAGACCAUGAGUAUUGACACUCAGAACCGAUUGGUAAGAUCAAGGAUCAGAUGAAGAUUGUUCUACAGAGUACCGAGGCAGAUGGAGGGACAUAUCCUCAUUGGAAUCGUCCAACAACAAGAUUCAUCAAAAUCCGUGAGUUGAAAGAUUCCUUCCACGGCGAGGACAAGUAUCACCUAGUGCCCCCGCACCAAGACCCCACUGGAUGCGAUGGCUCAGUCAACUGCAGGUACCAGCUCCAGGAACUGUCGGCAGCAGAGAAGAUGCAUCUCCCUCCAACAAACUCUUUGGAGUAAGCACCAAGUAAAUGCAACACAUCGUUCUUUCUUCAAAUAUAUCUUUACGUUCCUGAGACACGUGUAUCAAUGCCAAAGCAAAUAUUUAUUGUUAAACCUUGGUGCAGGUGAGAGUAUUAUGAAUCAGCCAUGUUACUAAGGGAAUGGAAUUAUGUUCAGGCUACAUCAGUGAGGAGUGAUGCUGCCUUUGAGUAAACUAGAUGGGUCGACAUAUUUUACAGUUACUGUCUGGGCUCGAUCUAUUGCUUGGUUUAAUUUGGCAACAUACCUUAUUGCAAAUCGAAUCUCUGGAUUAGUACCCCUGUAAUUUCAACAAUUUGGUACCAUGCUAAUUUGAUGCAUAUUCUUGCUCCAAAGUGCAACAUAAAAAGUGAUGCAAUUUGUAGUAAAGUUCCAAGCUUUAGCAAUUAUUGAGCAAGACUGUAAAUAAAACAAUGUUCCUCCAUCAGGAUGGUAAAUAUAUACCAAGGGGGAUCUCUCAGUUGCCUGUUUUACAGGGUUAUAUCUACAAACCAAUCACUUGUAUUCCUUGUGUUUACGAAUGUGUGUUCCAGAUGCUGGAAAAUCAAAGGUGCACAAAAAUGCUGGAGAAACUCAGCGGGUGCAGCAGCAUCUAUGGACCGAAGGAAAUAGGCAACAUUUCGGGCCGAAACACCUUCUUCAGACCACUUGUAUUCCUUUGCUUGUAGCUACUUCAGUGAAAGAUUAGUCCAUUGGCUGGGUCUCGCUGUCUGCCAGCUCCAGAUCAGAGCAUUGAUUGGGGUCACUCAGGAGAGAGAUCUGUGCAUUAACUGGAGUCUUUAAGGCUCUCGGAAAGAGAUCUACAUUGAUUGAGAUCUCAGUCCCUCAGAAUGAGAUCAGUCCACCGAUUGAGAUCCCUCUGUUCCUCAGAAAGAGAUGUGUACAGUUGGGUGUGGUCUCUCCGUCACUCGGGCACAGAGACAGAUCUGCACAUUGCCUGGGGUCUCUCGAUCACAAAUCUGUGCAUUGUGUGUGGUUUCUCAGUCCCACAGCAAGAGACCUGUGCAAUGACUGAGUUCUUGGAGAGAGACCUUUGGAUUGUCUAAGAUCUCUAUGUUUCAGAGAGUGAUCUGUGCGUUGACUUAGGUCUCAGAUUUCAGAGAAAUAUCAUUGCUUGGAACCUCUCAGCCCUCUGCACUCCCUUCAUUUUAGCUGCAGGAAUCCCUGAACAAUGUGACAAGAGAGAAUCCUAUCAUUUCAACCAUCGAGACUAAUGUAAAUAGACUUGAAGGCAGGCGUUGUGUGCUGCCUGACUGUAAAGAUUUGGUGUGAAAGUGGUAAUAUCAGCUCAGUUGCUGUUAGUUCCUGUAUGUAACCAGAAAGUUUAUUCAUUUUUUGUAUGAGGGUUUUUAGUUUCAUUGGUUACGUUAUAACUCUGUGUCUAAACAUAAUGGAACGGCUGAACAAUGGUGGGAGUGAGACUUUUCCCUUAAAUUAAAGAAUUUGUCUUCCAACCUG